rnacentral:rRNA from 1 species
AGUGAACGCUGGCGGUAGGCCUAACACAUGCAAGUCGAACGGCAGCACAGUAAGAGCUUGCUCUUACGGGUGGCGAGUGGCGGACGGGUGAGGAAUACAUCGGAAUCUACUUUUUCGUGGGGGAUAACGUAGGGAAACUUACGCUAAUACCGCAUACGACCUACGGGUGAAAGCAGGGGAUCUUCGGACCUUGCGCGAUUGAAUGAGCCGAUGUCGGAUUAGCUAGUUGGCGGGGUAAAGGCCCACCAAGGCGACGAUCCGUAGCUGGUCUGAGAGGAUGAUCAGCCACACUGGAACUGAGACACGGUCCAGACUCCUACGGGAGGCAGCAGUGGGGAAUAUUGGACAAUGGGCGCAAGCCUGAUCCAGCCAUACCGCGUGGGUGAAGAAGGCCUUCGGGUUGUGAAGCCCUUUUGUUGGGAAAGAAAAGCAGCAGGUUAAUACCCCGCUGUUCUGACGGUACCCAAAGAAUAAGCACCGGCUAACUUCGUG